GUGAUCUUGGCGCUGACGAGUGGCGAACGGGUGAGUAAUGCUUAGGAAUCUGCCCGGUAGUGGGGGACAACCCGAGGAAACUCGGGCUAAUACCGCGUAAUCUCUACGGAGGAAAGCGGGGGAUCUUCGGACCUCGCGCUAUCGGAUGAGCCUAAGUCGGAUUAGCUUGUUGGUGAGGUAAUGGCUUACCAAGGCGACGAUCCGUAGCUGGUCUGAGAGGACGACCAGCCACACUGGGACUGAGACACGGCCCAGACUCCUACGGGAGGCAGCAGUAGGGAAUAUUGGACAAUGGGCGCAAGCCUGAUCCAGCAAUGCCGCGUGUGUGAAGAAGGCCUGCGGGUUGUAAAGCACUUUCAGUGGGGAAGACAAACUCGAGGUUAAUAUCCUCGGGUCUCGACGUUACCCACAGAAGAAGCACCGGCCAACUCCGUGCCAGCAGCCGCGGUAAUACGGAGGGUGCGAGCGUUAAUCGGAAUUACUGGGCGUAAAGCGCACGCAGGUGGCUGGGUCAGUCGGUUGUGAAAUCCCCGGGCUUAACCUGGGAAUUGCGAUCGAAACUGCCCGGCUAGAGUAUGGGAGAAGGGAAGUGGAAUUCCCGGUGUAGCGGUGAAAUGCAUAGAUAUCGGGAGGGAACACCCAGUGGCGAAGGCGGCUUCCUGGCCCAAUACUGACACUCAGGUGCGAAAGCGUGGGGAGCAAACAGGAUUAGAUACCUGGUAGUCCACGCCGUAAACGAUGAGAACUAGAUGUCCGGGGGGGAUUAGCCCCCUCGGUGUCGCA
rnacentral:rRNA from 1 species